AACACUCCUCGAGUUUGCUUGAAAAACUAUUUUGCAAACUUGCAUUAUUGUAUGCACUUUUUCACUUCGUUACAAAAGUGCGGAAAACAAGCAAUGCUCAAAAAUUGAUAUUUUUUCCGCUUGCUUAUUUUAUGA
rfam:Treponema pedis str. T A4, complete genome.